rnacentral:lncRNA from 1 species
GUUUGUUUACUUAUGAACUUUUGGUGUGUGUGUUCUUGAACUUUGAGUUUCCAUUUGAGUUUAAUUUGAAGAUCAUUACCAUGUUCAUCCUAGUGGCUACAAGAUACAUUGAGGAUCUCUUAUGAGACUUAUGUGAUUGCUUAUGCUUUGUGCUUGCUUAUUCCAAAGGAUGGGAGACACUUGGAUCAUCUAUAUGAUCUCAAGAGAGGAACUCCUAGUGUGGCUUUUUCCCUCACCUCUUUU